AGCGAACGCUGGCGGCAGGCUUAACACAUGCAAGUCGAGCGGACCUUUCGGGGUCAGCGGCGGACGGGUGAGUAACGCGUGGGAACGUGCCUUCCGGUUCGGAAUAACCCUGGGAAACUAGGGCUAAUACCGGAUACGCCCUUAUGGGGAAAGGUUUACUGCCGGAAGAUCGGCCCGCGUCUGAUUAGCUAGUUGGUGGGGUAACGGCCUACCAAGGCGACGAUCAGUAGCUGGUCUGAGAGGAUGAUCAGCCACACUGGGACUGAGACACGGCCCAGACUCCUACGGGAAGCAGCAGUGGGGAAUAUUGGACAAUGGGCGCAAGCCUGAUCCAGCCAUGCCGCGUGGGUGAUGAAGGCCUUAGGGUUGUAAAGCUCUUUUAUCCGGGACGAUAAUGACGGUACCGGAGGAAUAAGCCCCGGCUAACUUCGUG
rnacentral:rRNA from 1 species